UGGAGAGUUUGAUCCUGGCUCAGGACGAACGCUGGCGGCGUGCUUAACACAUGCAAGUCGAACGGAAAGGCCCUUCGGGGUACUCGAGUGGCGAACGGGUGAGUAACACGUGGGUGAUCUGCCCUGCACUCUGGGAUAAGCCUGGGAAACUGGGUCUAAUACCGGAUAGGACCACACACUUCAUGGUGAGUGGUGCAAAGCUUUUGCGGUGUGGGAUGAGCCCGCGGCCUAUCAGCUUGUUGGUGGGGUAAUGGCCCACCAAGGCGACGACGGGUAGCCGGCCUGAGAGGGUGACCGGCCACACUGGGACUGAGAUACGGCCCAGACUCCUACGGGAGGCAGCAGUGGGGAAUAUUGCACAAUGGGCGCAAGCCUGAUGCAGCGACGCCGCGUGAGGGAUGACGGCCUUCGGGUUGUAAACCUCUUUCAGUAGGGACGAAGCGAAAGUGACGGUACCUACAGAAGAAGGACCGGCCACUACGUGCCAGCAGCCGCGGUA
rnacentral:rRNA from 1 species